rnacentral:rRNA from 1 species
CCUACGGGAGGCAGCAGUAGGGAAUAUUGCUCAAUGGGGGAAACCCUGAAGCAGCAACGCCGCGUGCAGGAUGAAGGUUUUCGGAUUGUAAACUCCUUUUGUUAGAGAAGAUAAUGACGUUAUCUAACGAAUAAUCACCGGCUAACUCCGUUCCAGCCGCCACGGUAAUACGGCGGGUGCAGGCGUUACUAGGAAUCACUGGGCGUAAAGAGCGCGUAGGCGGGAUAGCAAGUCAGAUGUGAAAAUCUAGGGCUUAACCAUAGAACUGCAUUUGAAACUGUUAUUCUAGAGUAUGCGAGAGGCAGGUGGAAUUCUUGGUGUAGGGGUAAAAUCCGUAGAGAUCAAGAGGAAUACUGAUUGCGAAGGCGGCCUGCUAGAGCGGAACUGACGCUGAUGCGCGAAAGCGUGGGGAGCAAACAGGAUUAGAUACCCUAGUAGUC